rnacentral:lncRNA from 1 species
UCUGCUUCAUUCCAAUAGCCUUUCUUUUAUUAAUUUUUUUGGACCUACUUAUGCCAAAUUAUAUAUUUUUCUCAUCAAAUGGCAUUUUCCUAUUGUCUUUGCUUCGUACAUUCUUAUGGAGAGUAGUUUGCUCCCCUCGAUAUGUCAUGUAACAGGUUCCAAUGCGUUUAUCAAAGACCGAAAGAUCACAACAAAUAAAGCUGAUAAGUACAUACCUCGGUUUACCCUUAAAUUGAUGCAUCACAUUGUGUUAACAUGAUUGUCUUUAAAUAUUAAUUCAAUAGGAGCUUUAAAUUCGAUUUUGACAAAUUAGAUAAGUAAACAGUAGAUAUGAGGUGAAAAGAGGUUAACAUUUCUUUAUGUUUUGAAUGGUAGCUAAGAUGAGAUUUCAGAUGGAAGUUGGUUUGCCGAUCUUGAUAUCAAUUUUGUAGAUCUAUUUGAUUUUACAUUACUCAAGUUUGUGCAAAUACAUUUGACUAAUUAAUAUUCAAUAUAAUGCUAAUAUCACAAAUCUACUUCAAAUAUUUGCUUCACGUUGGGCCCGUGCUGGCACGGACUAUUAUUACCUAGUACAACAAAAAAUUUCUUUCAACCAAGAUUCAACAUUAGCCAUUCAACAGAAUAUUUUACAACCAGAAUGUUAGCAACUUUCAACACAACAUCUCUCAACCAAAAUCCAACGGGGAUUAUGGGAAGCUUAAUAACGUAAGAUAUUUACGUUCUAAAGGAGUACGGUGCAAUUUUUUUCAAGAAUAUCAUACGAAUCUUUCUCUACUCCAGGUAUGUUAAGGCUAUUCCUUCUUUCUUUUUGACAUAAUUUAUAUGUAACGAACGCACGCGCAAUUGCACAACUUCCAUAAAUGACUCUAUUCACAGAAAUACUAAAGAUGCUUAUGUUCUAGCGAGAUUUUAUUAAAUUAUUUCAUAUGCAUUUAUACAUGCAUAUAUAUAUCCGUGUGUGUGUGUGUGUGUUUAUGUGAUAUGGAAAAUGUUAUGACAAUAUAUACAUACCACCACCCUAUCAGCUGGUAUGCAUUGAUGAUAUUGCCCACAGUGGCAGAGAUGAUAUGAUGGGAUGCCCUAAGAGGACUGAUGAUGUUAUGAAAUAUGUACCUGUGCACAACAUGACAUUCAUACACAUAUGCAUCACACUAUAAUUAUUUCAUAAAUUGCGUAGUUACCCAGACUUACAGGUUGAGCCAUUUAUUCUCUAUUUCUUCCAUAUCUGUUAUGUACUUAUUUGUGUGCCUUACAUACUCGGUACAUUAUUCGUACUGACGUCCCUUUUGUCUGAUGAUGCUGCGUUUCAUGUCCGCAUGUCCUGAUAGACAGGUCGAGAGCCCUUCAAGUAGGCUAUCAUCUCGACAGAAGAUGUUGGUGCGCUCCAUUUGCUUCGGAGUUGCUUGUUGGGUUAGUAUGAUUUAGAUGCAUAUUGUUUGGUAUAGCGGGUCUCUGUUCUGACCUUUAUGAAAUUUAUAUAUUUUUAGGAUUGUAGACAGAUGUCAUGUACGUAAAAGAUUGUAUGGCCUUAUCGGCCUAUGUUCAGUAUACGGGUGGUUAUUUUGGUCUUAUAGGCCAGUAUAUCUUAUGUAUAUGUUGGUAUCACAUAUUGUGUUCUACUUAUCUCACGGCAGCCUUCCGGCUCAGUUAUCUAUGUAAGCAU